rnacentral:rRNA from 1 species
AUGCGCGCCCCUCCCCUGCUCGCGCCGUCCACGCCGCAGCCGGCACGUCCUCCUCCUCUCCGUCCAUUGCGCACGGGGCUCGGUCGCUCCUUGUUCUUCUCGCCGAGAAGGCCGCCGCUUCUCGCCGUCGCGCGGUCCAAGAGCAGGGACGACGCCAGCUUCACCGAUCGCAUCCUCGACUACAUCGAGGGCGGUCCAAAGUUGAGGAAGUGGUAUGGAGCACCCGAUUUGCUUCCCAAGGAUGGGGGUGCCGAGGGCGAGGAGGAUGAGUCUUCAGAUAUCGAGGAGCCUCGAGAUGCCGUGCUAGUUACCAAUGGCGAGAGUGAGAUUGGACAGAUGGUGAUAUUAUCACUAAUUCUGAAAAGGGCCAGAAUAAAAGCAUUAGUGAAGGACAAACGAUCAACUGGAGAAGCUUUUGGAACUUACGUGGAGUGCAUGGUUGGCAACAUCAGAGACAAGUCCUUCACAAGGAAAACAUUAAGGGGUGUUCGUGCUGUAAUUUGUCCAACCGACGAUGGCUUCUUUUCUGACCAGAUUAACCUCAAAGGUGUCGAACACAUUGUCCUGCUAUCCCAGCUAUCUGUCUACAGAAAUAGCGGUGGGCUUCAAGCUAUUAUGAACAGCAAGCUAAGGAAGCUAGCCGAGCGGGAUGAAGAGGUGGUUCUUGCAUCUGGCAUCCCAUCUACGAUAAUCAGGAGUGCUUCUCUGGAGACCACUCCGGGUGGUGAGAAGGGGUUCAGUUUUACAGAGGGUAUAGCAGCCAAGGGGAAAAUAAGCAGAGAGGAUGCUGCUACAAUUUGUGUGGAGGCCCUGGAUGCCAUUCCCCAGACAACACUCAUAUUCGAGGUGGCAAAUGGCGAUGAAAACGUUACAGACUGGAAAACAUGGUUUGCUGAACGGAUGGCAAAGGGCUAA